rfam:Stegodyphus mimosarum contig124046, whole genome shotgun sequence.
GCCUUCGUGAUGUAGUGGUCAGCACGCUCGACGCGUAACUGAGAGGUCCGUGGUUCGAUUCCUGACGAAGGCG